GAGUUUGAUCCUGGCUCAGAACGAACGCUGGCGGCAGGCUUAACACAUGCAAGUCGAACGCCCCGCAAGGGGAGUGGCAGACGGGUGAGUAACACGUGGGAACAUACCCUUUGGUUCGGAACAACGUUUGGAAACGGACGCUAAUACCGGAUACGCCCUUGGCCGUGAGGUUUGGGGGAAAGGCUUUGCUGCCGAAGGAUUGGCCCGCGUUCGAUUAGCUAGAUGGCGGGGUAACGGCCCACCAUGGCGACGAUCGAUAGCUGGUCUGAGAGGAUGGCCAGCCACAUUGGGACUGAGACACGGCCCAAACUCCUACGGGAGGCAGCAGUGGGGAAUAUUGGACAAUGGGCGCAAGCCUGAUCCAGCCAUGCCGCGUGAGUGAUGACGGCCUUAGGGUUGUAAAGCUCUUUCGCACGCGACGAUAAUGACGGUAGCGUGAGAAGAAGCCCCGGCUAACUUCGUGCCAGCAGCCGCGGUAAUACGAAGGGGGCUAGCGUUGUUCGGAAUCACUGGGCGUAAAGGGUGCGUAGGCUGGUUCUUAAGUCAGGGGUGAAAUCCCGAGGCUCAACCUCGGAACUGCCUUUGAUACUGGGGAUCUUGAGUCCGGAAGAGGUGAGUGGAACUGCGAGUGUAGAGGUGAAAUUCGUAGAUAUUCGCAAGAACACCGGUGGCGAAGGCGGCUCACUGGUCCGGAACUGACGCUGAGGCACGACAGCGUGGGGAGCAAACAGGAUUAGAUACCCUGGUAGUCCACGCCGUAAACGAUGGAUGCCAGCCGUUGGGUAGUAUACUGCUGAGUGGCGCAGCUAACGCUUUGAGCAUUCCGCCUGGGGAGUACGGUCGCAAGAUUAAAACUCAAAGGAAUUGACGG
rnacentral:rRNA from 1 species